GACAGAGGUGCCAAGCGUUAGGCGGAAUCACUGGGCUUAAAGCGUGUGUAGGCGGGUCGUUAAGUACCUUGUGAAAUCCCACGGCUCAACCGUGGAACUGCUUGGUAUACUGGCGAUCUUGAGCCACUUAGGGGUUACCGGAACAAACGGUGGAGCGGUGAAAUGCGUAGAUAUCGUUUGGAACGCCAAUGGUGAAAACAGGUAACUGGGAGUGCGCUGACGCUGAGACACGAAAGCCAGGGGAGCGAACGGG
rnacentral:rRNA from 1 species